UACACCGAUACCUGCUUCGGUCCGGCCCUUCGGGUCCGGUGAAUAGGGAACGCGGUGCGAAUCCGCGACUGCCCCCGCAACUGUGAGCGGUGAGCGAAGCCGGCAUAUGCCACUCGUGCCACAAGGCGCGGGGAAGGCCCGGCCCAGCAUCGACCCGCGAGUCAGGAGACCUGCCGAGGUGAUCACCCUGUC
rnacentral:ncRNA from 2 species